AAAAAAACCCCCAUUCAAGGAUCUCUGAAUGACAUAACACAUGAGAUUCUCGUCUGCACAAGGCUUUCCCAUCCUCACAUAGCCAGGGUGAUGGCUGUUUCUAAGACUGAUAGAGCAAUUCUCAUUGCAAAUGAAUACAUCCAUGGAGCAAGUUUAGAGAAAGUGCUUCAUGGAGAUGAUGCCAAUUUCAAGUUGAAUGAAGAAGAGCAAUGCUACAUUGGACUGGAAGUAGCUCUUGCUGUUGAGUACAUUCAUUCAAAGAAUAUAAUACAUCAGGAUAUCAAACCAGCAAAUA